rnacentral:lncRNA from 1 species
UUGUUUAGUUGCAAAAUUUGUUAUUGUUGCGUAAACUCUCUAAAAUGCAACCUUCAUUGUUGUAUAAAUUCUAAAACGUGAUCUUCACGGUUGUUAAAUCAUAAAACGCAACCUUCAUUGUUAAGCAAACCCUAAAACAUAACCUUCAUUCUUGUGCAAACCCUAAAAUGCAACAUUCUUUGAUAAGUAAACUCUAAAACACAACUUUCAUUUUUGUUCGAACACUAGAACACAACCUUCCUUGUUGUGCUUGGUCCCUAUUGCAGCCUUCAUUGUUGCCCCACCUCCAAGGAGUUAUUGUGCCUCUUUAGUCCCUAUUGCGGCCUUCAUUGCUACCCCACCUCCAAGGACU